GAGGAUACCUCACCCCAAGACUUCAAACGAAGGAAUAAAAUAUUCCUUCUUACAACAAGGGAUUAUAAAAUCUCCCUUCAAGUGUAUGAAAACACUUAGCACUCACUUAAACAGAACUCUCUUUAUAGAGUAGAUAUAAGUAAACAAGUACGCUCAAGAACACAACAAUAAAUUCAAGAAAUAACUUCUCAAAAGCAAUUAAAAAUAUGAAAUGAAUGUAGAAUGUUUGGAAGCUUGUAUAUGAU
rnacentral:lncRNA from 1 species